rnacentral:tRNA from 1 species
GUUGCCGUGGCCGAGUGGUUAAGGCGAUAGACUUGAAAUCUCUUGGGAUUUUCGCGCUGGUUCGCAUCCUGCCGUCAACG